UGGUCCUAUCCUCCAGACCUCCACCACCGCCUGCCUCCUCCCUUUCCCAGCGUUUCCAUUCAGCCGCUCGCCGCUUCUCCGUCAAUGCGCUCCGCUUCACCAUUGCUGUACGCCGCCAGCGGGGAGACGUCCGUCCGCGGUCGUGUGGUGCUUUCCGGCCGGACAGACGCGGUCUCGGCGUCGUCCUCGUCCGUGGCGGAGAGGGAGAGGGGGCCCGUCGACGCCAUCUUUCUCGGCGCCGACUUCGCCCAAUCAGCCUCCUGCCUUGUCGUCUCGCUUGGCGAGCCAGCGGCGUGCGGUGUGGUUCAUGGCGUUGGUGGAGUCCAAGGCCGUGGCCUUACGUGCAUCGUGUUCGUUCGACCCAUGGAGGGUGUGUUGCGGUCCACCAUGAAGGGCGGCGGCGCGGGCGGCGAAGAAUCGAGAGCCCGAGCAGCGACGCCGACAAGCGCGCCAGUUCGUUGCUAAUCUCGGUCACCGGUGGUUUUGUUUUGUCUACGGCAUCGGGUUGCUUCCUGCUCCCUUCUUCUUCCAUCCUCUUUCUUCCUUUGCUUCGCUAAAUCCUUCUUUCGUCUUGCUCCUUAGAUUUCUGUCCUCGUCCUCUGCAGGUGUUGUGAUGUUUCUCGCUCUGGGUUGCCUUCAGCGUUGAGAUGCAAUUCACACACCACAUAAACCAUGUGUUGUGCUCUUUAUUGGUUCAUUGGUUGUGGUAGCUGCGGGGCUGGCGGCCGCAUUCGGGGUUGGAGAUGGCACGAGAUGCGGAGCUGCCUUGUGCCAUUCUUUCGCAAGACUAGAUACAAAUGGUUCAGCAAAGAGGGACUCAAGUUUGGAACCACCACACAGAUAAGGCCAUGGAACAAUAGUGUGUGGCUAUUCUGUGUAAUGUUUAUCUCAUCGGGGGAUAUGUCAGGGUGUAAGUGCAGACUCGUUAUCGAUGUUGAAUACUGGAGUAAGAAUGAUGAUCAAUAUAAUGUUGUAAUGAACCUGCAUGCUAUAGCAUUAUAUCAGGAUAUAUUGGUUAGGCACAUACUUUUUUGACAGUGGUUUAGAAAGGUGUGAUUUUCAAAUGUAGUUGCCUAUUAGUUUUUUUAGUUUUCUUAUGUUGAUUUCUCUUUUACUUAGUGUUUGCCGAGUAAGAGAAUUUUUUAACUUGAAUAUCAGAAUAUUUGUUUUUGAACGUUGGAAGAUCAGAACAUUACUGAUAGAAGAAUGAAUUAUAUCCUGAAAGUUGGUUACAUUACCACGAUGGUUGGAAUAUAAUUUAGACUUUGUUCCCA